UACGUAAGGUGCGAGCGUUGUCCGGAAUUAUUGGGCGUAAAGAGCUUGUAGGUGGCUCGUCGCGUCGGGAGUGAAAACCCGCGGCUUAACCGCGGGCCUGCUUUCGAUACGGGCGGGCUAGAGUUCGGCAGGGGAGACUGGAAUUCCUGGUGUAGCGGUGGAAUGCGCAGAUAUCAGGAGGAACACCGAUGGCGAAGGCAGAUCUCUGGGCCGUAACUGACGCUGAGGAGCGAAAGCGUGGGGAGCGAACAGG
rnacentral:rRNA from 1 species